rnacentral:rRNA from 1 species
GGAGCAGUGGUUCCGCAAGGUUCCGUUGUGGAAACCGGCGAACGGGUGCGUAACACGUGAGAAACCUGCCCCUUAGACCGGAAUAGCCCGAGGAAACUCGGAUUAAUGCCGGAUACUCUCUAUGGAUCGCAUGAUCCGUUGAGGAAAUGGUCCGCCGCUAAGGGAUGGUCUCGCGGCCUAUCAGCUUGUUGGUGAGGUAACGGCUCACCAAGGCUAAGACGGGUAGCUGGUCUGAGAGGACGAUCAGCCACACUGGAACUGAGACACGGUCCAGACUCCUACGGGAGGCAGCAGCAGGGAAUAUUGCACAAUGGGCGAAAGCCUGAUGCAGCGACACCGCGUGCGGGAUGAAUGCCUUCGGGUUGUAAACCGCUUUCAGGAGGGAAGAAAAUGACGGUACCUCCAGAAGAAGCUCCGGCCAACUACGUGCCAGCAGCCGCGGUAAUACGUAGGGAGCAAACGUUGUCCGGAUUUAUUGGGCGUAAAGGGCUCGUAGGCGGUUCAACAAGUCGGUCGUGAAAGCCCGGGGCUCAACCCCGGGACGCCGGUCGAAACUGUUGUGACUAGAGUUCGGUAGAGGUGAGUGGAAUUCUCGGUGUAGCGGUGGAAUGCGCAGAUAUCGAGAGGAACACCAUUAGCGAAGGCGGCUCACUGGGCCGAUACUGACGCUGAGGAGCGAAAGCGUG